UACAGGAAAAAAAAGCCUUCACAUUAGGGCGCUACCUCCUCCGUCCAAGUACCACGCAGCCAAGCCAAAUCUCUUCUCUCCCUGACCACAACGCCGCCGCCACCACCUCUGAUUCAGCUAGCUCCGGCGCUCUGUCUCGCCGUUGCUCACCGGACCAGCUGCCCCACACUGCUCUCCUCCGACCCCCCGCCAUGGCGAUGUCUUCCGCGCCACUACAUGCGGCCCGCAGCAACCCUAGGUGCCACAGGUCGCCAGCGCCCGCGCCUCCUCUGGUUCGCCAUACUACCCAGUCCCCGUGGUACAUCUCCACACGCGCGGCUGCUGGCUCGGCGGUGGUGUUGCUGCUCCGCCUCGGCAACCUCGACUCCGACGCCACUGACGGUUCAGUAAGUCACUCCUCGUCUGACCCUUGUUUUCUUACCCCACUUGGUUCUUUGUGUGGCAGGCCAUGGCAGAUUCUUCUUUGCCGGCCAUCGUGAUGGCGAUCUGCGGGACCUUGAUACUCAUUCUGAUCCACCUCCGCCACCGGCGUCCAUGCCACUCCACCUUCAUGAAUCAGAGUAUUCCUAAAGAUGACGUUCUGUCCCAUAGCUUCCCCUUUUCCUUCCCGCCUUUCAGAUUGUAUAACACUGAGCGGUUACUCGUGUACCUCUAUCCUUCUCUCGUAGUACUGCUACCAUGUACGACUCUGAUUGAAACAACGACAAUGCGAAACACAGGGAGUUUGCGUCGUUCAUAUCUAUGUACUAUCUCAUUAUAUACAUCAAUGUCCAUUAUAUGUACAGCUCACACUGUUUCCCUUCUUAAUUCUUAUUAAUUAAUUUCAAUAUAUGAUUAUUUUUCAUUCAACUUGGUGUAUUUCAUUAGUCCCCUAGAAAACAUCACCGACCAGAUGGCUAUAUGUUUCAGGAAAUGAUCUCUGCAGGGUGUUGUCAAGCGGAGAGGUGGAGGACUUAAAGUGGUAGAAUCAGAACAUCAGAUCACUUGUCUGCUGAAAGCAAUUCACCUAGAGGGGAAAGGGUGGCCGAUGUACUGCAGGUCAGUACGAUCGAGGGCAAGGCACACGUGGGUGGAGAGGAAACGCUUGCAGCUAGGUUAAAGGAAGGGCUGAGCACGAUCAAUCCAGUGUGGUGUUACAGAUCUGGGCCUCUAGCUUGCUGUCAAAGACGCGUUCUUGCAGAGAACCUGAGUAAAGCUGUAAUUCUCGCCAACGCAUCAAUGCAAUGCAAGGAAGUUCAUAGAGAAGCUUGUCAUCCAGCAUGAAGGGUGCGGGAAGAUGAAGACGAAGAUGAUGCAUGGCUAAGUUAUUGAUAGAAUGGUGGAGAAUGGGGCUACUACCAGAUAGUUUUAGAUUUACUAUAUAGAAUAUCAGUUUCAUGGUUAAUAUAUAGGAAAUCAUGUAAUAUAUUUUUCAGAUUGUGUUCCAUGUAAUGCAACCGAGUUGAGUAAAUAUAUGAGAUCUUUCUAUUUGGUGGAUU